CUAUGGGCGCACAACCUGUACAGAGAUGCAGACUCUUAGGCUUGGUGUUGGUCAUGGACCUAGAAAAUGACUUGAAAAAAAAAAAAAACAACUCUAAAACAGACUUGUUCUUCUCUUACACCAAUAGACAAAAAUAGUCACCGAAGAACUGUACAAAAAAGAUCUUCACAACCCAGAUAAUCAC